UACGUAGGGCGCAAGCGUUAUCCGGAAUUAUUGGGCGUAAAGAGCUCGUAGGCGGCUUGUUGCGUCGGCUGUGAAAUCCCAUGGCUCAACUGUGGGCUUGCAGCCGAUACGGGCGGGCUAGAGUGCGGAAGAGGCGAGUGGAAUUCCUGGUGUAGCGGUGAAAUGCGCAGAUAUCAGGAGGAACACCGAUUGCGAAGGCAGCUCGCUGGGACGUAACUGACGCUGAGACGCGAAAGCGUGGGGAGCAAACAGG
rnacentral:rRNA from 1 species